AUCUGCAACAUAAUAAACAAUUGUGAGUCGAAAAAACUGAAAUGUUCAUAUAACAUAAAGUUAAGUACUGUACUUGAAAUGGCAACCGAACAAUCUCGCACCGAAAGCCCUUACGCGUAGUCAAGCGAGAGCACGAGGUACUCUGGUAAGAAUCAUACUCACGAGGGCCAGGCAUCUGAUUGGCCUCAAUGAAGGUUAUUUUUGCAGUGUAGCCAGUGUUUACUAUAACGUUUUAACAAUAAAAUAUUUU